CACUCCUACGGGAGGCAGCAGUGGGGAAUAUUGCACAAUGGGCGCAAGCCUGAUGCAGCCAUGCCGCGUGUAUGAAGAAGGCCUUCGGGUUGUAAAGUACUUUCAGCGGGGAGGAAGGCGAUAAGGUUAAUAACCUUGUCGAUUGACGUUACCCGCAGAAGAAGCACCGGCUAACUCCGUGCCAGCAGCCGCGGUAAUACGGAGGGUGCAAGCGUUAAUCGGAAUUACUGGGCGUAAAGCGCACGCAGGCGGUCUGUCAAGUCGGAUGUGAAAUCCCCGGGCUCAACCUGGGAACUGCAUUCGAAACUGGCAGGCUAGAGUCUUGUAGAGGGGGGUAGAAUUCCAGGUGUAGCGGUGAAAUGCGUAGAGAUCUGGAGGAAUACCGGUGGCGAAGGCGGCCCCCUGGACAAAGACUGACGCUCAGGUGCGAAAGCGUGGGGAGCAAACAGGAUUAGAAACCCGAGUAGUCCCAUGAU
rnacentral:rRNA from 1 species